CCUCAGUCAACCCCGCUGAAGUCCAGAGAUAAAAGUAAACACUUGAAGGUGGUUCUCACCAGCUCAGCAGAAAUUAGUCCAAGAAAAAAAGCCAUGAACAUCUGGAACAUACCUAGCCCUACAUCCCACCUAGACACUGUUACAGUCAAAAGGAAGACAACCAAAGCUCAGCAGCUGCAUCUGAAACAGUGGAUACCAGAAUGAGUGUCAUAGAAGCACCUGAUGAAAGAGAUGACAGCACAUUUCUUCCACUGAGUGGUGGUGGUAUUUCCUCAAGAACAUCUUCAGACGUGUGAAGAAGAAGGCAACAGCAGCAGAAGAGGAAGAAAGAAAACCGGGACCUGCAGCCAUGGAUCAAGUCUACUUCUGGUGGUCGUGUAGCUCGUAUGGUGGAGAUCAG